GGAGAGAAACUCGUGUGAUGAUCCCUGCUUGUGUCCGGGCCAAUGAGAGUACCCUGAUUAGAACAACAAGCUCUGAUGAAUGUAACGCCAUCUGGAUGCACUCAUGGACGUGCCCUGUGCACUGUGCAGCGUUUUGAUGAGCGUUUUCUGGUUUCGGAGCACGACGAUGGCUUAUCCUGCACGGUGGGAUUCUACUGGUCAGAAGAGGAUCUGUCGUUUAUGGCUCCCGGUAAUGGGUACACGUAAUAUUCAAGACCACGUCUUAUGCGGGCGGAUUACUGCAGGCCUCCGUUAGGUGACUACUGCCUAAAUUAAGAUCACUUUCCGGAACACACAUCAGCUCAUGAUCUGUACACGGACAUCAUGAAAUGUUCUCCUGGGUGAUGGGCCAAAUGUUCUUGAUGCGGCGACGUCACAGGUGCCGGGAGUAGCGGCGGAGACUGCGGCCGUCGUCCGGUCCGCCCCUGGCCGGUACCGAGGCUGACGUGAACCAGACUUCCACACAGCCAGAGCACGACGAUGGCUUAUCUUGCACGGUGGAUUCUGCUCGUCAGAAGAGGAUCUGUCGUUUAUGUGAUGGGUACACGUGAUAUUCAAGACCACUUAUACCUGAGGAUUUCUGCAGGCCGUUACGUGGCUGCAUAAAAGCUCUCGACAUGUAUUCUGAAUCAGUGGUGGUUCUCAGCAUCGUGGUGAUCGUCUGUCGGCUGAAAAAUACUAGCCCCGGCCGCCGUUAUCCGGGAGAGCGUCUCUGCCAGUCGGCAUGAGACGGUCAGUCAUUUACCAUGACUGGCGACCGAAGUGAUACCAAAGGACAAAGCGCGGGCAAUGGCCCUUAUGUUUCUGUGGCGCCGGUUAUCUGAUUCACCCCAUUCGUGACGGCGUGGGGCGUCCCUGGUCAGAGGCCUGACCAGCCGGGGACGCUCCUCGCCGUGGUAACUGAUGUGGAGAGCGCUCGCGAAUCAUGACCUCGGGACUGAAUAAAGUUGGGUUUUAAUUCCUCUC